AAAAGAAAAACACAACGUUAAUAUCAGUGUUUUCUUUCAUAGCAACAAUAUUCUACUAUGGUCUGAGCUAACCACAGAACUACAAAUAUCUAUAUUUGACGUUUGUUGAUCGAAUAAACAUAAUAAUUUAGUAAAGUGUAGGAAAAUCGAUGAAACCUAGUGAGUUCGUAUUGUUUAUUGUUGGAUCUGAUGAUGAACUUACAAUCGAAUGAUUGUUUCUAAAAUAUGACAUCAACUGCUGUCAUUGUCCCAGGCAGAUUCUACAAAUGUCUACUUCAAAGCGUAAUGAAUAUUACAAUUGUUUGCUACAUAAAACAAUGUUUCAUUGGAUGUGAUAUUUUUAUGGACACACCCUUUAUAAUCUUAUCUAUUGUUCCUAAGAUUUUUUAUCUGGAACAAAUGCUACGCGACCACAAUCUGUCAACUAUG